rnacentral:rRNA from 1 species
GGGAGGCAGCAGUGAGGAAUAUUGGUCAAUGGGCGGAAGCCUGAACCAGCCAAGUCGCGUGAGGGAUUAAGGCCCUGCGGGUCGUAAACCUCUUUUGCCGGGGAGCAGUGGUCCGGACGCGUCCGGGCCGGGAGAGUACCCGGAGAAAAAGCAUCGGCUAACUCCGUGCCAGCAGCCGCGGUAAUACGGAGGAUGCGAGCGUUAUCCGGAUUUAUUGGGUUUAAAGGGUGCGUAGGCGGGCAUUUAAGCCGGCGGUCAAAUGUCGGGGCUCAACCCCGGCCUGCCGUCGGAACUGGGUGCCUUGAGUGGGCGAGAAGUAUGCGGAAUGCGUGGUGUAGCGGUGAAAUGCAUAGAUAUCACGCAGAACCCCGAUUGCGAAGGCAGCAUACCGGCGCCCUACUGACGCUGAGGCACGAAAGUGCGGGUAUCGAACAGGAUUAGAUACCCUGGUAGUCCGCACAGUA